rnacentral:tRNA from 1 species
AUUUAAUUAGCUUAAUUUAAAGUUUAACAUUGAAAAUGUUAAGAUAGUUGUUUUCUAUUAAAUA